UCCAGACUCCUACGGGAGGCAGCAGUGGGGAAUAUUGCACAAUGGGGGAAACCCUGAUGCAGCAACGCCGCGUGAAGGAAGACGGUUUUCGGAUUGUAAACUUCUAUCAAUAGGGAAGAAAGAAAUGACGGUACCUAAAUAAGAAGCCCCGGCUAACUCCGUGCCAGCAGCCGCGGUAAUACGGAGGAUGCGAGCGUUAUCCGGAUUUAUUGGGUUUAAAGGGUGCGUAGGCGGAAUGCCAAGUCAGCGGUAAAAUCGCGGGGCUCACCCUCGCUCCGCCGUUGAAACUGGCGUUCUUGAGUGGGCGAGAAGUAUGCGGAAUGCGUGGUGUAGCGGUGAAAUGCAUAGAUAUCACGCAGAACUCCGAUUGCGAAGGCAGCAUACCGGCGCCCAACUGACGCUGAAGCACGAAAGCGUGGGUAUCGAACAGGAUUAGAUCCCCCGGUA
rnacentral:rRNA from 1 species